CUCGCCGUCCUGGACACGGCGGAGUGCGGAGCCGCCCGUAAGGUAUGGAGGCCGCGAGCCAGGGGCCGGGAACCGGCUGCUGGGUGGCUGGGAGAGCACGGCCAGGGGAAGCCGGCCAGCAGGACGGAGCAAGGGCGGUCACCGGAGGACAGGGGAGCUCGGGGGUCCAGCCAGACUGCGCCCUUUCCCAUCAGGGCCUGCCGCUGGCCUACUACGCAUGCGCAGCCGCAGCGCUCGGCUUUCCCCGGCCCAUCCACCGCCUUGCGCACGCGCAGCCCGCCCCUGCGGCAGAGUGGCGCCCGCGCGUGACUGCCCCCUGCCGGCUGCGGGGGGGGGGGGGGAAGACGGCGCCCCCGCCGUGUGCGUGGGGCGGGGAUGGAGCACGCGCCCUGGAGCCCCGGAGCCGCCCGGAGCCAGGUGUCACGCGUGUGACGCGUGUCCCUGAACCUACCUGCGCUUGUUGUCCCAACUCUAAAAUGGGAAUGAUAAGUGCCAUUCGGCAGCGCCCCGUGGGUCUAUAAUCUACUUAGCACAGAGAGUGUCCUCUAAGUACUUCACAUCCUUCUCUGCAGAUGCUCUGACCUUUGACCCCUGCCGUUCAGCUCUAGGGCCCGUGCAGGCCACACCAUGAACACCUCCCCAGGCACGGUGGGCAGUGACCCGGUCAUCCUGGCCACUGCAGGCUACGACCACACCGUGCGCUUCUGGCAGGCCCACAGCGGCAUCUGCACCCGGACGGUGCAGCACCAGGACUCCCAGGUGAAUGCCUUGGAGAUCACACCGGACCGCAGCAUGAUUGCUGCUGCAGGUUACCAGCACAUCCGCAUGUAUGAUCUCAACUCCAAUAACCCUAACCCCAUCAUCAGCUACGACGGCGUCAACAAGAACAUCGCGUCUGUGGGCUUCCACGAAGACGGCCGCUGGAUGUACACGGGCGGCGAGGACUGCACAGCCAGGAUCUGGGACCUCAGGUCCCGGAACCUGCAGUGCCAGCGGAUCUUCCAGGUGAACGCACCCAUUAACUGCGUGUGCCUGCACCCCAACCAGGCAGAGCUCAUCGUGGGUGACCAGAGCGGGGCUAUCCACAUCUGGGACUUGAAAACAGACCACAACGAGCAGCUGAUCCCUGAGCCCGAGGUCUCCAUCACGUCCGCCCACAUCGAUCCCGACGCCAGCUACAUGGCAGCUGUCAAUAGCACUGGAAACUGCUAUGUCUGGAAUCUGACGGGGGGCAUUGGUGACGAGGUGACCCAGCUCAUCCCCAAGACCAAGAUCCCUGCCCACACGCGCUACGCCCUGCAGUGUCGCUUCAGCCCCGACUCCACGCUCCUCGCCACCUGCUCGGCUGAUCAGACGUGCAAGAUCUGGAGGACGUCCAACUUCUCCCUGAUGACGGAGCUGAGCAUCAAGAGCGGCAACCCCGGGGAGUCCUCCCGCGGCUGGAUGUGGGGCUGCGCCUUCUCGGGGGACUCCCAGUACAUCGUCACUGCUUCCUCGGACAACCUGGCCCGGCUCUGGUGUGUGGAGACUGGAGAGAUCAAGAGAGAGUAUGGCGGCCACCAGAAGGCUGUUGUCUGCCUGGCCUUCAAUGACAGUGUGCUGGGCUAGCCUGUGACCCCUCGGGACUGCCUGGUGCAGGUGGUGGCAGCUGGAGGGACCCAUGCAGCACCCAGGUCAGAGCAGACCCUCCCCUGCCGGCCUGCGCCAGCUGGACCUGAUGGCCCCCUGUGGUGCCUUGACCUGCUGGGCCAGGCUGCCCUGGGACUCUCAGCCCCCAGUUGCUUAUCCAGAUGUGACAGAGCUCGACCCAAGCCAGGCUGCACACUCCUGGACUGGGCUAGCCUGCACUGCCUGGGAAAGUCGGCCGAGGGCCCAAAGCUGCUGAGGGGUCUGAGGCUGGUGCCCACCCCCAAGCUAGUGCGUUCUCUGCCCCUCCCUGCCCGCGUUUCAGGGCCUCGGUCCAUAGAGAACACCACCACCAUGGCCAGGUGGAAGGGUUUAUUAGUCCCUGCCGGCAGCUGUCCUCCCUGGUGCAGGUGGCCUGGCCAGCCCACUGGAUUGGGGACGGACGGGCCAGGCUGGGCCAGGUCGGGGGCUCAGUCUGGGAGGUAAUAAAAGCAGACCGACACGCA
rnacentral:sRNA from 1 species